GGUUGUCUUGCUCUGUUCCUGUGUACUGGCAUUCUUCCUGAAUUACUGUAUAUUUCUUAAUACGACAAUAAAUUCAGCACUAACGCAGACAAUUUGCGGUAACUUGAAGGAUUUCUUUACCAUUGGACUUGGCUGGGUGAUAUUUGGUGGCCUUCCAUUUGAUAUUUUGAAUGUCAUUGGGCAAUGUCUCAAUUUUCUU